UCUUGAAAAUGUCCUAAGCGAGAUUCACGCAUCUGUCAAAUAUCUUGUGUUCUGUGAUGGCUACCGCUACAAAUGCGGUGACGUAAAUCUCGAAGGCUGACUAUCGAGUACUACCUUCUAAUGUAAUUACCGUUCUCGUAUCGAGGACUCGAUACAUUAACAUUACGAACUCGAUAGAUUUUCGUGUUUGACGUACAGAUCUUCUCAGUGGCUCGCGUUUCCGAUCCGGUAGUAUAUUCUACCAACCGCUGCUCUUGCUAAGGCUAGUGUUAGCAAAUUCGCCAAGCCGAGACCCGUGAGCUCGCCUACUCACUCGGUGAAGCUGACAUAACCCUUAGAGGCUCCCAGCGCAGGUAAACAAAAAAAGAGAAGACGCAUGAUAGGCUUAAAUGAAAAAAGAGAACAUGCGACGCUGAUCCCUUAUUGUGGCAUACGGGCGUGAUAAAGACAAAUAUUUUAUAAUAAUUACUAGCUGACCCGGCAGACUUCGUAGUGCCUCAAUCGAUAAAUAAAAGAACUAAGCUUUUGUAUAAAAUAAACUUAAAGCAAACAAACAAAAGGAAUCCGUCCGACGAGGGACACAUCAAAGGAAAAACAAAAUUGUUAUUUUUAUUUAAUUCCGAGAAUUUUCAUAUUUAUUUACCUUUAAAACCUUCUCUGGACUUGCACAAAUAAUUCAAGUCCAAAAUUAGCCAAAUCGGUCGAGCCGUUCUCGAGUUUUAGCGAGACUAACGAACAGCAAUUCAUUUUUAUACUAUAUAUAUAGAUUAUUUAAAUCAAAAUCAAAAGUCCACAUAAUAUUCUUUUAUAAAAGAGAUUUUGUUCUAUGAAUCCGGUGAUUUAACUGUCGGCUGUCACUAGCAACAGUUUUGAAAACAACAAACAGGUGCCAGUAUCUGUCCAAACAAUAUAACAAAAACAUUAUGUAAUACAACUUUUAACAUGUCAACAUGUCAUGCCAAUAAUGUUCGUAAAGUUUAUAACGUUUUCUCAUUGCGUUUACAAUAUGUAAUAAUUUAUUUGAGCUAAUUAGGAAUUUUCGUAUUGAAGUAUGCAUUUAUUUCUACGGUUUCAGCAGUAAUAUUGAUGGCGAAUCAUUGAUGCGCCUCAAUGUAAAUGUUUUGUGAAAUCUUUCAAAUUUUAAUUUCAAAGUAAUAUCUCUGAUAAAUGAUAUCUCGAGAACAUCUAAAAGCAAUCACGACUAAUAACAAUCUACCGAUAUAAAUCGGCCGAUAGAUUUUCGCUAAUUGAGAUUCCGAAAUGAUAAGUUUGAUAAUAUUUCGUCGUUCGAAUCAUUUCUUUUUCGGUAGCCAAGCCUAGUUGUUAGCGUGUUUGAUGUAAAAUCGACUAGAAUUCGACCGCGACUUUGAAUUAAAUUAUCGUAUGUGACCGCCCGAACCUAAAUACUUUUCUUCUCCAGUAUAAUGGACAUCUAAAACCAAAUAGACUUAGAUAAGAAAUCCAAAGCCCAGUGGUCGAGUUAAACAUCACUAGGCAUUAGGAAGUAAUUAAAAAAUACCAUUUUUAAGAAAUUGCUAUGAAGACCAAGAUCGAGCGGCUUAUAGUACUUGGUAGAUGCACAAUCUGAAGUUCCAUGAAACCUGUGUACCUGUGAUAUUUUAAGUCGAAAAUGUCGGUACCGCGAUUCAAGUUUUCGCCGGACUUUUUCAGUCCUACACACAGCUUUAUUUUAUAUAGCUAUAUUAUAUAGCUAUAUUUUGAUAGCUAUAAGUACAAACAAAAAUAUAUAUGUUUUUCUUUAAAUUCAGUUCCUUUGGUUUUUAAAAUCAUCAGCGCGUGGAGACGCUGCUUUGUUAAUUUUUUUGUAAACAUGACAUUAUUUUUGAAUCUUCUGAAAAAGAAGAUACUAGUUGCAAAUGUCGCAGAUACCUCAGUUAUAAAGAGUAGUUCCUUAUGAGACGAUGCGGAGGGGUACCCUCACCGGGAAAAACGUCCGUAACGUAAGAUUUUUAUUAGUAAUGCACACAGUGUCCUAACUCUUAUACAAACAGCCGUGAAUGAAGUGUACCUCAAUAAGUUCGCACGUUACCGUAUGGGUUGUUGCGAAACCUCCAGUUUUAUUUUCUUUAUACCUCGAAUAGAACUUAAAAUUAAUAUUUUUAUAAUAAGGAACUUCGUUCCUAUCCGGUGUCCCACGACACCACACAUCUUUUUUUUUUCCUAUAGCUAUUUUAUUAUCCAAAAAUAACCAUCGCCAUAUCCUAGUGUUUAUCGAAUGAAAUCUUAUCGGCAUUUUUUUGCGUUCAAUCUUAAUAGAUUUUUGUAUUAGAUAAUCAAUGUUUUACGUAACACGAACUAUGUAUUGUAUCAAUUAACCGAACAUACUACUGGCGACAAGAAUUGGCGCCGGUCUACCGAAAUAGUUGAUCAGGGGGCCGACCCACGUACGAGAUGUCCACGCCUAGGGGCGCACAGGAUGUGUGGGACUUGACAGUCUGCAGAUGUUGGGAGCAGACCGCGGACCCAAGGAUGUCUUCAGGGUCCUAAACUAGAACGAUCCUGCAGGUGUUCAAACUUGUAACCAAAUAAAUCGGAUUUUGGUGUCGAAACCUAGCUGUUUGUAGUUUAUAAUAUUGUUUCUGUGUUUCUACAUUGAUUACUGAUAUGAUAUGAGAUUGAUAAAGAAAAAUAAAUCCCCAAACAACAA